GGCGGCGGCGGCGACGGCGGGGGGAGGCGCCGUCCUCCCUGCGGGGCGCUGCUGCUUGCGGGUGGCUUAGCUUGGCCUCCUCUUGCAGGGCACGCUCAAGUGUGAAAAACCAGGAGUGCAGGCGGGCGGUUCAGGGAAGGCCUAAGACGGACGUGUCAUUCCGCACGGCGUGUGGGGACUGCUGUCAGAGGUUCCAAAUAGCCAGACUCAAACCCGUGAGUCAGCAGCGAGAGAGAGAGAGAGAGAGAGAGAGAGAGAGAGACGCAGACACAGAGACAGAGAGAAGGAAAGGAAAGGAACAAGAAAAGAAAAACAGGGAAUAAAAAGAAAAAUUACUGUGCACACACCAGAAGUUGGCAGACCCCGACACUCAGCCCGAAAUGAGGCUCAAGGGUGCCCCUGUUAGUGACAAAGCUGCGACUGUUCAUUCUUCGCACUGAUUACUUACAAUAAUUACAAUUUUCAGUGGUUACCAAGUCCUUUAUCAACUUUGGGAAGCGUUCAAGGUUUGCUUCUCAUUUCCAGACACGUGAGCAAGGAGUGACCAGGUCCUCUAAGCCUGGCAGCCGAAGCCGAAUCAAGCCUCGCCUGCGUGACCAAACCGGGUCUUUCUGCUCAGGGACCCCGCAAGACUCGCCAGAGAACCCAGAAGGGAAGAAGGGUAAAGUUUGCUGCCCCGACGAUGUACUAGAUUUCAUUUAUGAGAAUAUCUUUACAUGUGAACAUAGAAAACAGCUUCCCGCACUGUAUCCCUUGGAGCGGCGGCUGGGACCUCGGCGGCGGCGGCCGCUCUGGGAGCAGAGCGCUACUGCCAUCUGGUGGCCACAGGCUGGAGCUGCCGCUCCUCAUCCCACCGCGCGCGGGGCCCAACACGGGGAGCGCGGGGGUGGACCAGGCUUGGCCUCAAAUUACUUUGAGUAUAAUUCGAUGCCAAAAAUGUUCCAUUUCCCGGGACGCCUGGGGGGCUCAGCGGUUGAGCCUCUGCCUUCGGCUCAGGGCGUGACUCCAGGGUCGGGGAUCGAGUCCCACGUCGGGCUCCUCGCAUGGAGCCUGCUUCUCCCUCUGCCUGUGUCUCUGCCUCUCUGUGUGUGUCUCAUGAAUAAAUAAAUAACAUCCUUUUUAAAAAUGUUCCAUUUCCCAGCCAUUUUUAAGAGUUCACCAUAGACCCUAA